UCGCAGUCUGCAACUCGACUGCGUGAAGGCGGAGUCGCUAGUAAUCGCGGAUCAGCAACGCCGCGGUGAAUGCGUUCCCGGGCCUUGUACACACCGCCGUCAAGUCAUGAAAGUGGGUAGCACCCGAAGCCGGUGGCCCGACCCUCGUGGGGGGAGCCGUCUAAGGUGAGACUCGUGAUUGGGACUAAGUCGUAACAAGGUAAC
rnacentral:rRNA from 1 species